UGUGUAGGCGGUUCGGAAAGAAAGAUGUGAAAUCCCAGGGCUCAACCUUGGAACUGCAUUUUUAACUGCCGAGCUAGAGUAUGUCAGAGGGGGGUAGAAUUCCACGUGUAGCAGUGAAAUGCGUAGAUAUGUGGAGGAAUACCGAUGGCGAAGGCAGCCCCCUGGGAUAAUACUGACGCUCAGACACGAAAGCGUGGGGAGCAAACAGGAUUAGAUACCCUGGUAGUCCACGCCCUAAACGAUGUCAACUAGCUGUUGGGGCCGUUAGGCCUUAGUAGCGCAGCUAACGCGUGAAGUUGACCGCCUGGGGAGUACGGUCGCAAGAUUAAAACUCAAAGGAAUUGACGGGGACCCGCACAAGCGGUGGAUGAUGUGGAUUAAUUCGAUGCAACGCGAAAAACCUUACCUACCCUUGACAUGUCUGGAAAGCCGAAGAGAUUUGGCCGUGCUCGCAAGAGAACCGGAACACAGGUGCUGCAUGGCUGUCGUCAGCUCGUGUCGUGAGAUGUUGGGUUAAGUCCCGCAACGAGCGCAACCCUUGUCAUUAGUUGCUACGCAAGAGCACUCUAAUGAGACUGCCGGUGACAAACCGGAGGAAGGUGGGGAUGACGUCAAGUCCUCAUGGCCCUUAUGGGUAGGGCUUCACACGUCAUACAAUGGUCGGGACAGAGGGUCGCCAACCCGCGAGGGGGAGCCAAUCUCAGAAACCCGAUCGUAGUCCGGAUCGCAGUCUGCAACUCGACUGCGUGAAGUCGGAAUCGCUAGUAAUCGCGGAUCAGAAUGUCGCGGUGAAUACGUUCCCGGGUCUUGUACACACCGCCCGUCACACCAUGGGAGUGGGUUUCACCAGAAGUAGGUAGCCUAACCGUAAGGAGGGCGCU
rnacentral:rRNA from 1 species